UCGAAUGAGUACAAUCUAAAUCCUUUAACGAGGACCAAUUGGAGGGCAAGUCUGGUGCCAGCAGCCGCGGUAACUCCAGCUCCAAAAGCGUAUAUUAAAGUUGCUGCAGUUAAAAAGCUCGUAGUUGGAUCUGGGUCGUGCGGUCGCGUGCCGGCGCUCGUUCAUUUGGCCUAAUCUCCGAUUGGGUCUUAUGUUCGUGCCAGCAUCGUGGUCGUGCAGCCUUUCAGCCGUGUCUGUGUAAACAGGUGCUGGCGUGGCCGGUGAGUUCGCUUGCUAGCCUGUCGGCAUGCUUCCGGGUGCUCUUCACCGGGUGUCGGGGGCGGACGGCACUUUUACUUUGAACAAAUUUGAGUGCUCAAAGCAGGCCUGUGUGCCUGAAAAUUCUUGCAUGGAAUAAUGGAAUAGGACUUCGGUUCUAUUUUGUUGGUUUUCGGAUCCGAAGUAAUGGUUAAGAGGGACAGACGGGGGCAUUUGUAUGGUUGCGUGAGAGGUGAAAUUCAGUGAUCGCAGCCAGACAAACU
rnacentral:rRNA from 1 species